rnacentral:tRNA from 2 species
CGUAGCGUAGCUUAACUAAAGCAUCCCGCUUACACCGGGAAAAUGUUUGUGAAAACCAAACCGCUUCGA